GAAACAUGUUAGGAACAUGAUAGAAACACGUCUGUGUGUGUUUGCAAGUCCUCAUAGCAAACGGUUCUGAAAACGGCUUGAACCAAAGAUUAAGUCCUAGCCAAGAGACAAGACCGCGUCCGUCCAAGCCCCGAGACACGGGAGAAGGUCUUACAGUGGGCGGUGGAUUUUCCUCAUCAAUCUUAGUGCAGUAUCUAAGUCUGAGCCUGCGCCCACACCUGGUAGAGGACCGGCCCCCCUCCCACGCCAUCAUCUCAUGCCAAUCAGCCUCUCAGCCUUGCUUUGGUUUCCACACCGCUUCUGCCUACAACCGAAGAACUGGUCGGACCAAUCACAGCCAUUUUUGAUGACAACCAGGAUGGCUUCCACUGAUGUGGAGAGCUGUUUAACUGGAUAUAAGUCCUGGCUGUGGCCCUGCACACAUGGAAUUCUAAAACAUGGAACAACAGCGGAAUGAAAGGAUGCGUGGAAGCUCAGCGACCAGAAUGUGCAGGCUGAUCCAAGUACAAAUGCAUUUUUGUGGUAGAACAUAUAGAAAGCGGCUGACAGACGAAUCCCAUUUGAUCACUCCACAUACGCCAAGAAAGAAACAGUCAGAAGAUAUUUCCUGGAAGAGAAAUAGGAGGAACCAUCUGGGACCAAUGUUCUGUUGUAACUGAUCGCUGGACAGGCUGGGACGCCCUGUGACCAGAGUUCACCCUCCCACCUGGCCGUAUGGAUGAUUCUCCUCCUUCUCCGCACUCUCUCAGCAGACUGCAGCAACAGAUGGAUAAGACGAGAACCGUUAAGACUGCGUUUGGGGAAACACUGAUGUGAAGUCCUGCAGGGCAGACAAGGUUGGGCUUCAUUGAUGUGACGGGAUAGGCAGCGUGAAGGCAGCGGUAUGCUUUGCGCGUCGCAGUUGACCUGGUGCUUCUGCAGUAAUGAGCACCGACCUGCCGUCCGGCCGGAUGGGACCGUGGCUCGGUGAACUGGCGACUGUCAGGAAGAUGCACGGAGCUUUAACGGUGUGAGACUAGACAAGUGUUUGAACGUGAGUGAGAGUGUGAUGAGGUGGCGAUGAAGUCAGCGGAAACCUCAUCAGGGACAUGUCAAGAGGCAAAGGCAGGACAUGGCUGAUGCGCCGCCAUUCACCAGCCCCGCCCCACUUAGAUCUGCAGACCACUCGCCCUUGACAGACCGGCCUUGAGACGCCCAGAGUAUUGUCAGGAGUUUGAGUUUACUCUGCAACAUCGACGCGGCUACACGGAACAAGACAACUCUCGACUGAAUAAAUUCUGAACCCAUACCUUCAGCCGAGGCACAGUUCAGUGCUCGGAUUCGGCUGAACUGCCUCCAUCGACCUCCCACUGAGACACACAGUAGCAGUUCCUACCUGGUGAAUGCCAUGUUUGUCGACUGAAAUUCGUUUUCCUGUAAAUUCACAAUGAGCCUGGUAAAAAUAUACAGUAUAGCAGGGCUCGUAGGAGUGGAGAAGAUGGGACUCCUGACAACCUCCGGCAGAGUGUCUGGGGCUGAUAACACCCACGAACCCCCCAGUGUGUCCAGUUGUUCAAGGUUUCCCAGGGUUUGGACAUAAAAGUACAGUCCCUGAAUGCAGCAGCUUGAUUUUUAUGCCACAGUGUACUCUGACUCUAUAAAAUCCUCCUGUCCUCCCAUAACUGGCACUGCUACACAUGCAGCAGUGUAUUAGGGUUUUUUAUUGAUGAUGAUUAGGUGCUUUUCUUCUCCUCCUGCCUUCCUGCCUGCAGCCAGCGACACAAACUAUAGGAGGUUAAUGUCCUUUCAUAAUGGUGGCUCCAUCACUCCUCUCUGCGUAUUAAGAUUAGGUUUAUUAUUAUUGCUCUCAUAGGUGCACUGUCAUCGUAAAAGUUCCCCCAAUUCAGUGAUGCACGAGCAGCAGGUUUUCGGGGUGUGCUCAAACAGUUUGCCUGAAGGGGAAAUAAAAAAAAUAACUGAAGAGCAA